CGAAGGGUGCAAGCGUUACUCGGAAUUACUGGGCGUAAAGCGUGCGUAGGUGGUCGUUUAAGUCCGUUGUGAAAGACCCUCGGGCGUCAACCUGGGAACUGCAGUGGAUACUGGGCGACUAGAGUGUGGUAGAGGGUAGCGGAAUUCCUGGUGUAGCAGUGAAAUGCGUAGAGAUCAGGAGGAACAUCCAUGGCGAAGGCAGCUACCUGGACCAACACUGACACUGAGGCACGAAAGCGUGGGGAGCAAACAGGAUU
rnacentral:rRNA from 1 species